rnacentral:rRNA from 1 species
UGGGGGACGUCGUAAACAGACUGCCUGUGCAAACAGAGAGGAAGGAGGGGACGACGUCAAGUCAUCAUGGCCCUUACGUCCGGGGCUACACACGUGCUACAAUGGGCAGUACAGAGGGCAGCUACCUGGUAACAGGAUGCCAAUCUCAAAAAGCUGUUCACAGUUCGGAUAGAGGUCUGCAACUCGACUUCGUGGAGCUGGAUUCGCUAGUAAUCGCGCAUCAGCCAUGGCGCGGUGAAUACGUUCCCGGGCCUU